rnacentral:lncRNA from 1 species
UUGGAUGAAUGGGAUGCCAUAGUCACCAGGGAUUUUACGGAUCGGAAGUUUGGUUGUUUGUGGUUGAGAGAUGGAGACUUGGAAGGGUGGUUUUUCUGAAACUGAGGAUCUUAUAGGUGGAAGAAAGGUGGAGGAACGUCGUGAUGAGGUGGUGGAAGAGGGUCUGUUUUGGUGUUUGAGGAGAUUAGGAGAAGGAGUUGAAAGAGUAGAGGAAGCCAUGCUUGGAGGUGGUGAAUGGUGAUGGUGGUGUAGAUAGUAGUUGAGUUUGUGAGAAGGUGG